rnacentral:misc_RNA from 1 species
GUUCCGUAGGUGAACCUGCGGAAGGAUCAUUCAUAAUAAAGUGUUUUAUGGCACUUUUUAAAAAUCCAUAUCCACCUUGUGUGCAAUGUUAGAUCUCGUCAAUCUUGGCGAGAUUUUUAUACAUCAACUCAUUCUUUAACUAAUUUGUCUGAAAAAUAUUAUGAAUACUUAAUUCAAAAUACAACUUUCAACAACGGAUCUCUUGGCUCUCACAUCGAUGAAGAACGCGC